UACGUAGGGGCUAGCGUUGUCCGGAAUCAUUGGGCGUAAAGCGCGUGUAGGCGGUUUGGUAAGUCCGCUGUGAAAGUCGGGGCUCAACCCUCGAAUGCCGGUGGAUACUGUCGAACUAGAGUGCGGAAGAGGCGAGUGGAAGUUCCUGGUGUAGCGGUGAAAUGCGCAGAUAUCAGGAGGAACACCAAUUGCGAAGGCAGCUCGCUGGGACGUAACUGACGCUGAGACGCGAAAGCGUGGGGAGCAAACAGG
rnacentral:rRNA from 1 species